UAAAAGGGACUUCGCCUCUUUUUCCGGGCUCGGCAGGGUAGCACUCGGGACCCCGGCUCUCCGACCCUCACGGCUGCCGAUUUGCUGGGGGGACUUGGAGAGCCGCCUUCCCCUUCCUGACGCGGACAGAGGGGCCAGCCUUGGUCCACCGCGCGCGCUGCAUCUCUGCUCCGUCCCCAGCCGCCCGCCCGGGCUGCCACCCGCCGAGUCCCGAGAGCGAGCGGGCGAGCGAGCGGGGGCCGGCGCUGCGUUCGCCCGGGCGCGCCCUCCAGGAUGCUGCUCCGCCCGGUCCGCUGAAAACGGGCGCCCCUUCCCGGCCCAAAGGCGGGCGCCCCUUCCCGGCGCCUCCUCCAGCUCACCCCUGAGGCUUCUAGGCGCCCGGGGCUCCCCCCGCCUGCUCCCUUCCUCCCUCUCUCGCUCUCUCGCUCUCUCGCUCGCGCUCGCUCUGGUAGGGCCUUCCUCGCGGUCCGUGCGCGCAGGCGGUGGCUAGCUGUCUCGGACGCAGCAUGCAGGCGCGCUACUCUGUGUCCGACCCCAACGCCCUGGGAGUGGUGCCCUACUUGAGCGAGCAGAAUUACUACCGGGCGGCGGGCAGCUACGGAGGCAUGGCCAGCCCCAUGGGUGUCUACUCGGGGCACCCGGAGCAGUACGGCGCGGGCAUGGGCCGCUCCUACGCGCCCUACCACCACCACCAGCCCGCGGCGCCCAAGGACCUCGUGAAGCCGCCCUACAGCUACAUCGCGCUCAUAACCAUGGCGAUCCAGAACGCGCCCGAGAAGAAGAUCACCCUGAACGGCAUCUACCAGUUCAUCAUGGAUCGCUUUCCCUUCUACCGGGAGAACAAGCAGGGCUGGCAGAACAGCAUCCGCCACAACCUCUCGCUCAACGAGUGCUUCGUCAAGGUGCCCCGCGACGACAAGAAACCUGGCAAGGGCAGCUACUGGACCCUGGACCCGGACUCCUACAACAUGUUCGAGAACGGCAGCUUCCUGCGGCGGCGGCGGCGCUUCAAGAAGAAGGACGUGCCCAAGGAGAAGGAGGAGCGGGCCCACCUCAAGGAGCCGCCCCCGGCGGCGUCCAAGGGCGCCCCGGCCGCCCCCCCACUAGCGGACGCCCCCAAGGAGGCCGAGAAGAAGGUGGUGAUCAAGAGCGAGGCGGCGUCGCCGGCGCUGCCGGUCAUCACCAAGGUGGAGACGCUGAGCCCCGCGAGCGCGCUGCAGGCCAGCCCGCGCAGCGCGGCCUCCCCGCCCGCCGCCUCCCCCGACGGCUCGCUGCCGGAGCACCACGCAGGCGCGCCCAACGGGCUGCCCGGCUUCAGCGUGGAGAAUAUCAUGACGCUGCGAACGUCGCCGCCGGGAGGCGAGCUGAGCCCCGCGGCCGGGCGCGCGGGCCUGGUGGUGCCGCCGCUGGCUCUGCCCUACGCCGCCGCGCCGCCCGCUGCCUACGGCCAGCCGUGCGCGCAGGGCCUGGAGGCUGCGGGCGCCGGGGGCUACCAGUGCAGCAUGCGCGCCAUGAGCCUGUACACCGGGGCCGAGCGGCCGGCGCACAUGUGCGUCCCGCCAGCGCUGGACGAGGCCCUCUCGGACCACCCGAGCGGCCCCACGUCGCCCCUGAGCGCCCUCAACCUCGCCGCCGGCCAGGAGGGCGCGCUCGCCGCCGCCGGCCAUCACCACCAGCAUCACGGCCACCACCACCCGCAGGCGCCGCCGCCCCCGCCGGCUCCCCAGCCCCAGCCGGCGCCGCAGCCCGGGGCCGCCGCGGCCCAGGCGGCGUCCUGGUAUCUGAACCACAGCGGGGACCUGAACCACCUCUCCGGCCACACGUUCGCAGCCCAGCAGCAGACUUUCCCUAACGUCAGGGAGAUGUUCAACUCCCACCGGCUGGGGAUUGAGAACUCGACCCUCGGGGAACCCCAGGUGAGCAGCAACGCGAGCUGUCAGCUGCCCUACAGAUCUACGCCUUCUCUCUACCGCCACGCAGCCCCAUAUUCCUAUGACUGCACGAAAUACUGACCUGCCCCGGCCCUCCUCUGCCCUGGCCCGCUCUGGCUUCGCCUCCCAGACGCGACCCUCUCAAACAGUUCAGGCUGCAGAGACGCAAAAAGAACCCAAACUUGCCCACCGCUUUUUCCGCAGACCCGGGAGCAGAGAGAGCGCGCGCGCCAGCCUCAGCCCUCUGCGAAGCCGCAGAGCCAUUAAUAUAAUAUUUAAAGUUGAGUUCACUGGAUAAUUUCUCAUCUUGCCCGACCGUUUCUAACUGCCAAAGUGAAAAUUCAAGAAACCUAUGCGGGGUUUCCCCCCUGUACAAUUAUGAGAUAUAAUUCUUUUCCCAGUUGUAGGUCUUUUACAAAACAAGAAAAUAAUUUAUUUUUUGUUGUUGUUGGCGGAUAAAGAAGUCAAGUAUCUGAUACUUUUUAUUUACAAAGUGUGAUGGUGUUGUAUAGUAGAUUCCUCCCCCAGCAUUCCUAAAAGAAAAAAAAAAAAACACUAAAAAUUUAACUUGACCUGUGUUUGUCUUAUGUGGUCUUAAUUGUUGUACUUGCCUUAAAAUAAACCCAUGUUGUUUUUCUGCCCAAA